rnacentral:rRNA from 1 species
UUUUAUUUUAUUUUUGUAAAAUGUUUUAAUUUUUAUUUUAUUUUUAAAAAUAUUUAAAAUUUGGUUUUUGAACUGGAUUAGUACCCAGGUAAACAAAAUUUAUUAAUUCGGGAGUAAAGUUUUGUUUAAACCGAAAAAAUAUUGACUGACUUUAGAUUUUUCUUUGGAACAUGUGUAUUUGGAGAGCCCUCCUUUUGGUUAAUUUUGUUGGGACAUGUAUGAUUGUUUAGUUUUUAUUAUAUUUGUAAUGCUUUUUAUUUUAUUUAAAACAGAUAUAUACUUGGCUUAUAAAUUAUGUUUACAUGUGUUACUAUUAUAAAUUUUUUUUGGAUUUAUUUUUUAUUUUAUUUUGAAAUUGGAAAAGAAAGUAAUUUUUUUUUUAUGUUAAGAUGAAUUUAAUAAAG